GCCGUCGUAGCUCAGCAGGAUAGAGCGCUGGGUUCCGAACCCAAAGGCCGCAGGUUCGAAUCCUGCCGAUGGCUCCA
rnacentral:tRNA from 1 species